rnacentral:lncRNA from 1 species
CUUUGUAAUAAAGGCAAACAAAAUGGACCAAAGACUAAAAGAAUGAAUUAUACUGCAUAGCUACUGAGAUAAAACAUUCAACAGAAAUUUUUGGAAAAAUCAAAAUAAACUUCCAGGUACUACUUAAAACUCAUAUGUCACAUCUACAAUGAAAAUUCUUAUACUAGCUGGUUAAACACACACUUAAACUCACGUAUGAGCAUAUAGAAACAUUUGUUCAAAACGUUAGUAUAAACACAGCCGACAAUCUCAAAGAAAUUACUAUUAAAUUGAUAGCACAUCUUUUUGUUAGCUGGAAACCUCUUUACUCAGCCUUACCAGUAUGCAUCUACCAUACACAAGGCAUACAUCCAUCAAAAUUCAGAACUAAUACGUUUAUCACACUAGCUUCAAAAUUAUGCAGGAUAACAAUGCUUAUUUUUAAAAAAAUUUAAGUCUCUUUAACAAAAAUAAAGGAAUUCAUAAAACAAGCUGAAAUAAGAAUAACAACAUAUGCAAAUAAGACUUAGUUCACAAUAGUGCUGUGAGGGUCAAACAGAAAUGUAAGAAUUCAUUUGUGAUUUGUAUACUUUUCUGUAUGUAUCUUAUAACUCAAUGAAAAAAUUCAAGAGUAGAUGAAAACAUGCAAAUCAUAAAGCAGUAUCAGUCACUUGUCUCUAAACAAAUACAAAACCCCCAUUUUUAAAAGAGUUAUAGGUUAGCCAAAUGAGGAAAUUCAAACCAGGGGGAAUAAGAAGUUCCCAAUUCUCUUAGCCCCAACAUCCGGAAUAAGAAUUUUCAGUAGAAAUAUACCAGCAAACUCAGUCAUCAUGAAAGGUAAAACAGCAAAAACUAUCCCAGUGUAAAGAAUUAGACUCUACACACACACACACAAAAAAAAAAAACCAGUGGAAAAAACAUUAACAAUUAACAUAGUGAAGUACUUGUACUUUAAGAAAGCAAAAAGAAACAAUUUGAAAAUCUGUAAAUUUUCUUUAUUCAAUGAAAAAGAAAAGAAACUACUGUGUUUUUUUCCUUUUUUUGGAUUUUAAAAGUGGCUCUUCACAACCACCACCACCAAAAAAAAUGGAAUUCACAACACAACAAGACCCAGGAUAGGAUAUUCAGUUUAACAAAAUUUUAUCAUUAAUUAUAACAGAAACCUAUCUAGGAAAAAAAAAGGAUCUUUAACAGAUUUUCAGAGAUGAAGGAACUAGAGUUAAGUGUAGAUGUGGGUUGAAGUUUGUUUUCCUUUUUUCUUUAAUUCCUGAAGUGAGUUUAUUUGCUUUUUCUUGGUUGAGUUUUAAGACAACCAAAGGGAAAAUAAAAACUGGUUAUUAAAGCUUUCUAAUACUUGAAGGCCAAUAGGAUAACCAGGCUAAAGAACCUAGAUCCUGAAUUAUACUUCUGACCUUACAUGUUUUUCUACUGUUUAGCAAACCACCAACCAACAAACAAAAACUAGAGGAAAGAUUUUAAAACAAAGGCUGUAGCAACUUUUUGGAGGGAAAAUAUGGCAUUUUUAGGACUCUGGAAAUAAACUGAGAGAAAGGAAGGAAAAUAAUUGAUGAUAACCAUGUUACAUAAUUUAUAAGAACCACAGAAAAAUCAGAUAUUGACUUCCGCCAAGAUAUUACUAUUUUAAAAACUACUUUUGAAGGUAAAGACACCAAUGUGGCAAUGGUUGUAAAAUACAAUGUUUUUUCCAACUUUACAGGCAUAAAUACUUAACUCCUUUAUUUUCUGCAACUUUCCUUGCACAUUUAAACCCUAUAAAAGUGAGGAAAUUUUGCUUGCAAAAAGAACUUUAAGUCUUACUUAGAGCUCAAAAGAAUAAGCAUGGGGGGGCGGAAUCCCCUUGAACAGUUUUGUUUUUUUUUUUUUUUUUUUUUUGAGACAGAGUCUUACUCUGUUGCCCAGGCUGGAGUGCAGUGGCGCAAUCUCGGCUCACUGCAAGCUCCACCUCCCGGGUUCACGCCAUUCUCCUGCCUCAGCCUCCCGAGUAGCUGGGACUACAGGUGCCUGCCACCACGCCCGGAUAAUUUUUUUUUGUAUUUUUAGUAGAGACGGGGUUUCACUGUGUCAGCCAGGAUGAUCUCGAUCUCCUGACCUCGUGAUCCGCCUGCCUCGGCCUCCCAAAGUGCUGGGAUUACAGGUGUGAGCCAUCGUGCCCAGCCUGUACAGUUUUAAAAUAAAAAGAAACUCACUUUUUGCUUUGAAAAGAGAGCACUGCAACAU